AAUGAAGUGCCUGAACUAAAAGGAUUAUUUUGAUAGAAUAAAUCAUGUAAAUAUUUACCUUCAUUA
rnacentral:tRNA from 1 species